CAGAGGGACAGGCUGCUUCCCACCAGCCUCUAACAUCUUCAACAUCUUCCAACAUCUCAUGGGCAUGAGGACAUCUGCCACACCUGCUGUUGUGGGAAAGCCAGAAUUCCUUUAAGUCCACCAGGAACAAGAAAUUACAUGCUGAAGGUCAGAGACACAACUUUCUGCAGCCAUAAGAGUAAGAAUAGUUGCUGCUGUUUACACCGUAUUUUGCUGGCCUGCUUGAGUCAGAUCCUACUCCAGAAAUGUUAGCCCGCUUUGGUUUAAUGAAUGAUAAAGAAAGGCUGGUCAGGGCCUGCCAGAAUCUUCAUGACUUAGUGUACAUCUAUGUCUCUUGCAUCAACACAAUCUUCCGACU